UGCAAGUAUAUAACAUAAUAAUUAAUUAACGACAGAAAUGUUAGAAAAAUUUGUUAUCUGCCCCUAUGUUGCCAGCCACAGACUUUUAUAGAAUAGGCUGAGAAAGCAUAUUUUCAAAUGUCACCGGGAUACCUGGGAAAGGGAGCGGAAACUCUUGGAGACUGCACUUCCCAAACCAUCUACACCACACCCACCACCAUCAAAGUGGUUCAGCAAACCAACGCCAACACCACCGCAAGUGGAAAACUGGGACAACGAGACCUAUGUCCCAAAGUUAGAUAGGUCCCUGUUUUUUUAGACGGAACAGCCUUAAACGCCUACCAUGCGACAUUUAACAAAUAUAUAAGUAAACAAUAAUUUCAGCGAUCUGCACCAGAAAAUCGUGAACGGUUUGAAGUUGUACUUGGUAAAUAGAGGUCCGAUCGGUCAAACCAUCAAUAUCGAAUGUAUCGAAGAAUGAAGAAGGCAUUGGUUCAUGUGGAAAACAAAUCAAGUGCAGUUAGACUGCUUCGUCGUAGAUUAGAAUUACAUUUAAAACGAAUUAGUUCUUUAAAAGAAGCAACUGAAAUGUAUGAAAUAAGGACUAAAUUGAAUAAUCUAAAGCUGUAACAGAAAUUGUAAUAAAUAUAAUUUAAUUCG